UCGGACCCCGUAGUCCUGCAAUGGAUGCACUGAAGCCCAGGAAGCCAAGAGCGGCUUGGCCAGAGGCUGGAUCUGGUGAGGGAAUGAGAUAUUCCUUCACCUAAGGGCCACGGGAGGCAUGUCUGUUGCAGGAUCGGGGAAACUGAGGCCCACACAUCGGGAAAGUGAGAUCUACCGACCUCACCUGGAACCUCACAACGCAAAACAGCCAAAGCCGAGGCUGCACCUCUGGGUGUUGCCACUUCCAGCUCCGGUCCUCCCCACUCAGCGCACAGAGCCACACUCUGUCCAGUCACCUGAGAAAACUAGGCCAGAUGAGGUCCGGGGACCAAGCAGAGCAUGGGAAAUAAAAAGAGAAAAGGAAAAGAGAAGGCUCCUUUGAGCCUGAAUCAUCAUGAUGUCCCGGGCAAUGACAGUGGAGAUCCUUGACUUUCACGGGUGCGUCAUGUCAGGGUCCCUCGUCCCCGAACAUCUUCAGACAAAGAUGAGUGCCAUCCAGCACCAUCCCGGUUCAGCGAAGCAGCGGACCCUCCCCCAGCAGAGGCAGCGCCGCUGCUUGUGGGUUUGCCAAGGGCAUGGCCACGAUUUCAAGGUCAGCCUCUCUUCGGCCCUUGGGGCCCCUAAAUGGCAUGAUGGCUUCGCUGGGGGUGAGAGACGUACCC